rnacentral:misc_RNA from 1 species
GCUAAAGCUGCGCCAAUGAAUGGUCCAACCCAGAAUAUCCAGUGGUCCUUCCAUGCUUGUUCAUUGUUAUAGAUGACUGCUGCGCCAAGACUCCUAGCUGGGUUAAUACCAGUUCCAGUGACUGGAAUUGUAGCCAAAUGCACUAGGAACACCGCAAAUCCAAUAGGCAAUGGUGCUAAGAUAGGGACAUGAGAAUCACGAGCACUACGCUUGGCAUCAGUAGCAGAGAAAACA